GGGUAGGGUGGCCGAGUAGGCGGCAGGCUGUAGUCCUGUUUACGGAGGCAGGCCCCCCCAACCA
rnacentral:tRNA from 1 species